ensembl:lncRNA
AGGGAACAGGGGACACAGCCUUUUUAGGGGGGUGAAGUGGCUUUAUGGGAAUAACAUGUAAGAGUCACAUACCACUAUUAGACUGAACGAUAAAUGUUGAAGUCAUAGCAACAGAUUGGCUACGUGAAGCGACGACCUCUGGAAGCUGAAAAAGUCAACGGUAGUCAGGGAAACCAAUUCAGCUGCGCAAUUGAGAACAGUCUUCUUCGCUUAAACCAAAUCCCUCGAAAAUCAGAGAGGUGCCCUAUAACGUUAUCGACGCAGCUGUUGUUCGGGGUUAACUGCCUUACUCAAGGGGAGAACGGCAGAUUUACCACCAUGCAGGCUCGGGUGUUCAAGCCAGCGACCUUUCGAUGACUGACCUAACGCGCUUUACCGCUAAACUACCUGCCGACUGAAUCAAACGAAACGACAUCCCUUCCAUGCUGCUUCUCUCCUGGCUAUCAUUCCGGUAACACAGCCUCCGUUGUGUCAGUGUUUUGAUGGGCCCCAGCAUUCAAUCGUAUUGAAAUUGUUCCAAAAUGGCGUCUACCACUUUGUGCCAUACGGGGAAAUGGACUUCUUCCAGAUUGGCAGCAACCCCCUUCAGAGACUACGGUUUCAUCCCAUCCUGGUCGUUGUGCCACUGCCUCACCACCAUGUUGCCUCUCUCUGACUGACUGGCCAGGGCUGCCCUGCAGAGACCCCUCCCUAGUGAAGUCCUCUCCCCUCCCAUCUCACCUGCCCUCUCCAUCCUCCCCAGACCUCCCAUCCCGACCCCUCCACCCCCUCAGAGAAUAAAGGACGCUUCAUGAGGGGCUGGUGGAUGCCACGGUUAUCAAUCCUGCAUCCCAGUGGAGGCACGUCACACACUGUGAGCCCAGCGCAAGGCAGCGGUCUUUGGUGAAUGGGGUUAUAAUGGCCUUGCACCAUCCUGCUGACCAACAGUGUUACCGACCGGCUUCCAGAGAUUCCUGCUCCUUCAUCAAAUGUCAAAUGUACAUUAUCCCAAGGGCAUUGGCAGACACAAUAUGACGGGGAUUUGGACCUUGACAAAGCAGUAAAUCCUUUGCAUCGGACUCAUUAAAGAAAAAAUCUUCAUCCAGUUCGAGGUGAGGAAUCGCCGUUCUGACGUCCAGAAGCUCUUUCCGGUCAUAAGAGACGGUAGAAGCAACAUUAUGUACAAAACAAGUUACUAACAAUGCGAAAAAACUAACACAAUAGCACAGCUGGUUGGGAGCCUGUUAAACAGCAGCCCUGGUCAAAAGUAGUGCACUACAUAUAUGAACCCUGGUCAAAUGUAGUGCACUACAUAUAUGAACCCUGGUCAGAAGUAGUGCACUACAUAUAUGAACCCUGGCCAAAAGUAGUGCACUACAUAUAUGAACCCUGGCCAAAAGUAGUGCACUACAUAUAUGAACCCUGGUCAAAAGUAGUGCACUACAUAUAUGAACCCUGGCCAAAAGUAGUGCACUACAUAUUUGAACCCUGGCCAAAAGUAGUGCACUACAUAUAUGAACCCUGGUCAAAAGUAGUGCACUACAUAUAUGAACCCUGGCCAAAAGUAGUGCACUACAUAUUUGAACCCUGGCCAAAAGUAGUGCACUACAUAUAUGAACCCUGGUCAAAAGUAGUGCACUACAUAUAUGAACCCUGGUCAAAAGUAGUGCACUACAUAUAGUACCAGUCAAAAGUUUGGACCCACUGUUGUUUCUCUUUGCUUAGCUGUUGUUGCCAUAAUAUGGACUUUGUCUUUUACCUGUAUACCACCCCUACCUUGUCAAAACACAACUGAUUGGCUCAAACUCAUUAAAGAAGGAAAGAAAUUCCACAAAUUAACUUUUAACAAGGCACACAUGUUAAUUGAAAUGCAUUCCAGGUGACUACCUCAUGAAGCCGGUUGAGAGAAUGCCAAGAGUGUGCAAAGCUGUUAUCGAGGCAAGGGGUGGCUACUUUGAAGAAUCUCAAAUAUAAAUUAUAUUUUGAUUUGUUUUACACUUUUUUGGUUACUGCAUGAUUCCAUAUGUGUCAUAGUUUUGUACAAAAUAGUACAAAACAAAGAAAAAACCUUGAUUGAGUAGCUGAGUCCAAACUUUGACUGGUACUGUAUAUAUCUAUCUAUACAGUAUCUUUAAAAUGAUGCAGUAGGUAGGUACCAUACCAAAUGGCAUCCUCUUCCCUAUGAACCCUGGGCAAAAGUAGUGCACUAUAGGUAAUAGGCUGACAUUUGGGACACUCCCUCAGUGCCCUCGCGUCAUACUAACUGACUUGUACCAUCAUCCCAUCCCUCCUCCAAAUGUGGGGCAAUCUCCAAGUAUGAGGCAAAGGGCCAGAGUAAGAGCCCUCCUAGCAGAUAGACAUUCACAGGUCGGCUAGCAGGAAGCGCUUAGGGAUCCGAGGCAUUGUGUGUGUGUGUGUGUGUGUGUGUGUGUGUGUGUGUGUGCAGCCAGUUCGUUCAAGAUUAUUGUUGAAAUUGGACGUCUAUCGCUUUCCUGAAGACAUCGGGAAAUGCCUUCAAAACCAGCCACUAGAGGCAACAGUGAGCACUAUUACCAUCAAGUAGGCCUGGGUUUUGCUGGAGUGUUGUGGAUGAGCGGAUGGAGAGGUGGAAUCCCAUACCUCUGGAUCAGAAGGCUGUGUGUUUGAUCCUGGUCACAGACACUGGUUUUUAUAGUUGGUUUUAACUUAACCCUAUCCAAACCUUGACCUUUACCUUAACCAUUCAGAAUGAGAGACUAAACUCAAUGUCUUAACCCUAUAGAAUCCUUAACCAGUACCUUAGCCCUAUCCAAACCUUGACCAGUACCUUAACCCUAUCCAAUCCUUAACCAGUACCUUAACCCUAUCCAAACCUUGACCAGUACCUUAACCCUAUCCAAUCCUUAACCAGUACCUUAACCCUAUCCAAUCCUUGACCAGUACCUUAACCCUAUCCAAUCCUUAACCAGUACCUUAACCCUAUCCAAACCUUGACCAGUACCUUAACCCUAUCCAAACCUUGACCAGUACCUUAAACCUAUCCAAUCCUUAACCAGUACCUUAACCCUAUCCAAUCCUUAACCAGUACCUUAACCCUAUCCAAUCCUUGACCAGUACCUUAACCCUAUCCAAACCUUGACCAGUACCUUAACCCUAACCAAUCCUUAACCAGUACUUUAACCCUAUCCAAACCUUGACCAGUACCUUAACCCUAUCCAAUCCUUAACCAGUACCUUAACCCUAUCCAAACCUUGACCAGUACCUUAACCCUAUCCAAUCCUUAACCAGUACCUUAACCCUAUCCAAACCUUGACCAGUACCUUAACCCUAACCAAUCCUUAACCAGUACUUUAACCCUAUCCAAACCUUGACCAGUACCUUAACCCUAUCCAAUCCUUAACCAGUACCUUAACCCUAUCCAAACCUUGACCAGUACCUUAACCCUAUCCAAUCCUUAACCAGUACCUUAACC